UAGUUUGCGCAGUGGCAGUAUUGUAGCCAAUGAGGUUAAUCCGAGGCGCAAUUAUUGCUAAUUAAUAUGUAGUGGUUGAAAAUAAAAGCACUGUAAAAUAUGAAGGACCUCCAUAUUAAUGCAUGCAUUCAGGUCCAGAUUUUAAAAAGUUUCUGUAAUUAGUUUAUUU
rnacentral:snRNA from 1 species